CGUUUCUUCUACGAGUGUUUCUUAUUGAAAGUAUAAAGUAUUCUGGGUAAACAGCAAACUGUGGGAUGAAUAACCAGCAUCGUGAAAGUGGCCAGUUUGGGGAGUUUUUCAUAAACUUAGCGUAUAUGCCGGUAACCAUGUUAUAAACAGGCACAUUACUUGACGGGAAAUCGUUCCACGAGUCCCCAAGUGAAAGAAAUGUAAAUAUAAUAAGCGAAAUUGUCGUGGGCAUCAGUACUAUACAAAAGUUGAGGUUUUAGCUCAGACAACUUUUUACCUACUAAACCAAACCUGGUUAUGAGCAACAGACCCUUAUUAUAACAUUAGCAAUCAACAACAAAAAUUUUUAUAGUAUUGAUUUUUGAUAUCUUGCGUUCGUUCCGCUUUAUCGGAAAGACUUUGGCAAUUUUACCGAUUCUCUAGAAUCAUGUAAAGUGACGAAAACAGAAGGCAGAAAGUCCAACCAAAUAUGGGCAAAAAAAACAACCACUUCAAUAAAUUGUUCCAGUUAACAGCAGUUUAGUUGUGUUCAAGUCAAUUACCAGCGUUUCGCGUGAAACGUUACAGAAGUGUAAAUAAUGAAAUACUGUUGCUUUCUCUUUGACUCUCAUUCUUACACAAGGUCACUUUGCAUAGUAGACCGUUGAAAAAGUAAAAAGGAAUAGAGGAGAAAACAAGAUUUGAUUAAUUUUUAACCACACCCAACGUAUCCGCAAAAUCUCAUUGAUUCAGUAACAUUGACUAUAUGGUUCUUUCGGUAAGUUUGACUCGUUAUUAAAUAAAAAAAAUAGAGGCAAAUUGUUUGAAUUAUGUUUGCUAUCAAAUGAUAUCCAUUGAGUUAAAAAGUACGCGAUUUGAUAGUCUCAUGAAGACACACAUAAAGAGAGAAAAAUCCAUCAACUCCACUUAAAUUUAAAAAAAGGUGAGGUACAUAUAGAAACUUUAGUACAAUUCGUAUUGAUCGCCUAAAUCAAUAUUUUUGAAGUAUUGAAAGUUCAAACAUGCCUUACAGCUCAUUUCUCAUUACUUUGUAAGGUAGCUGGCUAAUGACAACUAUAUAUAGGCAUUGAGCCAUAAGUAUGCUAACUUUCACUAUUCAUCGCUUGGCAAAUCUUUUUCUUUAUUAAAUGUAUCUCCUAUAAACGUGGCACUACUUUUUUGAAAGUUAUAAAGCACGUUGGGAGCUAAUUUCAACUUUAUAAACUUCGCAAAAAGUGAAAGAAAACACAAAGGUAUAGAUAGUUACAAGCCGCAUUGCUAAGUUGAUCUGAUAAUUCUUAACAUCUAACGUAAUCGAGUGUGUCGGAAUAGUAUUUAUGAAAACUGUGAGAUAUCCCACUGAAAAUGAUUUAUGUUGUCAAAAGCAUCGUUAAUACACUUAAGAAUUACGCAUUUCCUCGUGUGCCUUAUUCGCAAUAAUUCUACUGUGUUGCUCACACUAAUGCUAACAAGUACG